rnacentral:lncRNA from 1 species
AAGAAAGGUGGUCCAUCUUGAGAAAGCCAAGAUCAUCGUCAUCUAGCUCAAGAGGACGAGGUGCAAGGUAUAGGUUUGCCCUUGAUAGGUUUUCCGUUUUAGGAUAGAUUGUCGUAUUGUCAAGGGGCUCUCAAGUGAGUAGCUUGAUCGUAUCGUUCGUUGAGAGCUCAAACCAUUUGCAUCCUUACAUCAUACUUCUUGGUUCUUGUUUGUUGUUUCUUUUUAUGAGUUUUAGAGCUUAUGUUCAUCUUUAUGACAAGCUCGAGUUCAUCGAAAACGGAUUCCAUAUGCAUCUUAUAUGAUGUUUUCGAUGUUGAGAGUUUUUACCGGUCUUAUUCGAAGAAGGGUUCUCACUAUUUUCUUAUGGGAAUUUUCUUACUUGCUUCUUAUUGAUAUUUCUAUCAAGAUUGUGUUAGCCCAUGUCGUUAGCUUUCCAACAAACUUGGUUUCGUUGAAUUCGUAGUCCGUAUACAAAAGUUACAGCAGUUUCAGUAUCCAGCGGUAGUACCGCUCAUGUAGCGGUAGUACCGCCCCCGGAGAGGUAGUACCGCCCCCGGAGCGGUAGUAAUUUUUAUUACCGCUCCCUAGCGGUAGUACCGCUCCAGGAGCGGUAGUACCGCUCCGUCGGACCGUUUUUUGCAUACUUUUUGGCCUCAGCAUGAUUGGUGAACCUACCGAGCGGUAGUACCGCUGUGUGCGGGCUGUGAGGCUUAACGGUUGGAUUUUUCCCCACCUAUAAAAGGGGGUCUUCUUCCCCAUUGAACCUUAUCUAUUUAGCUCGUGUUCUUCCCCCAUUGUUGACCUUCUACGAGCUUGCUAACUCUCAACCCAUUCAAUGGUUCUUGCUAGUUCUUGAGGGAAAAGAGAGAGGAGAUCUAGAUCCACAUUUCCACCAAUCACUUUCUCCUCUAAGUGAGGGGAACCCCUUGGGUCUAGAUUUUGGAGUUCUUCGUGUUCUUCUUUGUUCUUCCUCUCAUUUUCCUCCCUAGCAUUAGUUGCUUUGGUUGGAUUUGGGAGAGAAGGACUUGGGCACUCCAUGUGCCCUUGUCAUUGCAUUAGUUGCAUCGGUUUGAGUUCUCCACGGUGAUACUUGGAAGUGAAGUUUGAGAAGCUUAUUACCUUUGGUACUUAGUACCCUAGAUAUUGUUCUUCGUGGAUGCUUUGGCGUUCUAGAAGCUUGGUGGUGUCUCGGAGCUCAAUCAUUGUGGUGUAAAGCUCCGGACAAGCAUCGGGGUCUCCAAUUAGGUUGUGGAGAUUGCCCCGAGCAAUUUGUACGGGUAUCGGUGACCGCCCCCAAGGUUUGCCAUUUGUACGGGUUCGGUGACCGCCCUCAAGGGUCCCUUAGUGGAAUCACGGCAUCUUGCAUUAUGCGAGAGCGUGAGGAGAUUACGCAGCAAUGUAGUUAUCUUUCUACUCAUGCCAUUCCGGAAUGCUCAUGAGUUGUGGACAAAGCUUCAAGAUAAAUAUGGUAUGUCCAAGAUUUGUCGGAAUGAUUGUUCUCCCUCCACCUCCGGUCGUGUGGUCUUCUCAACUUUAUCUACUUCACCUACAUGUGGAUUGCCACAAGGUAAUGAUAUGGUGUGUAGUGGUGAUCAUUGCAACAAUGAUAGUGGGUUUAUUGUUGAUGAUCAUUCAUCACUAUAUUAUUGCAAUGCUUCAUCUUUGGGCAUUAACACUUCGAGCACUCUAAAUGUUUUACAUGCUUGUGUUGAUAGUCCUUACAUAUCAUGUAAAAACUGCUUGACUAAAUCUCAUGAUGAUAUGCUUCCUAUAUCUUGUUGCCAUGAUAAAAAUGUAUAUAUUUCCUCGAGUUGUUGUGCUAGCAAUGUAGAGGAAAUUCAUCACUCCAUGGAACAAGAUGUGGCCUUGAAUGAUGCUUCAAGGGAUCCUACAUCAUCAUCUAUUGUGACUCACUUUUGCCUUAUGGCUAAGGCUUCAAAGGUAUCUCCUACUUUGAAUCCCAAUAUAUCUCAUGAUGAUGAUGUUGAUGAUAAUGGGGAUGAGAAUAAUGACGAAGAGAGUGAUAAUAUUGCAUCCUUAAAAAUUAAGGGUGAAAUGAUUUUUAAAUCUCUUUAUAAGAAUAAACUUGCUUGUUUCAACUUCUUUGAAAUCAUGUCUAUUGCCACUGAGGGCAAUAAAUACAUUAGGAGUUGGAAGCUCAUCUCGAGGAGCAUGAGGCCACCAUUGAGACAAUGGAAGGUCAUGAGCGUGAAUACGCUAACGAGAUCGCGGAGCUAUCUCAAGAUCUUGAAAAUGAACAAACCAUCAAGGAAUAUCUUGAGGAAACCUUUGCUAUAGAAUUAUCUAGAUUAAAGGAAUCCCAUGAUAGAGCUCUCGAGGUGGCUAAUGAUUUUAGAACUAAAAAUGAUAAUCUUAAAGUUGCACAUGCUAAACUCAUUGAGGACUAUAAGCACCUCGAAAAUGGCUCAAAGGCUAUUAAGAGUUCGCUCAUAGAACUCACCGAGUCUCAUGCUCAACUUGAAGCUUCAUAUGCUAAAGAGCUUGCCAAGUUGCCUUCUCCUCUUAUUGUUAAUAAUGAUGCUUGUGCUACUAACGCUACUUCUUGUGAAGCAUCCAUUUUAAAGGAGAAUGUUGAGCUAAGGGCUCAACUUGAGUUGCUAUCUAGCAAUUAUGAGAAAUUGGAAGAAAGUCAUGUAAUGCUCACAAGCUCUUAUGAUGAUCUUCUAGUAUCCCAUAAUGUGCUAAAAUUAGCUCAUGAGGCUAUUACUACCAAGGUAACAUCGAGUGAGCCUCAUGUGGACAUUAGCACUACUUUUAGUCAAAAAGCUAUAUUGCCAUUUGCUAGUCCUCGUAAUUCAUCUACUCACAAUGUUGCUACAUCUUGUGAUGAAUUACUUUCCAUGCCUUGUUGCUCUAACAAUGAAGAUUAUACUACCUCUAGUACUUGUGUUGAUACUAACCAUGUAGAGGAAAUCAAAGAGCUCAAGGCCCAAGUCACUUCCUUGAAGAAAGACUUGGAAAAAAGAGUCAUGAAGAAUGUCCACACUCAACAAUGUCUUGUGUGGGCAAAAAUCCCCAAAUGACAAAUAUGGACUUGGAUUCAACUCCAACAAGAAGAAUAAGUCCAAAAUCUUCAAGAAGAAGGGCCAAGAACAAGUCAACAAUUCGGCCAAGAUUAUUUGCUUCAAGUGCAAAAUUGAAGGACACCAUGUUAGAUCUUGCCCACUAAAGAAGAAGCUCCAAAGUGAGAAGCAACAAGGGAAGAGGCCACAAGUGCACUUACAUACUCAACUAGAAGUUGAAGAAAGGCCCUUUCCCAAGAAGACCCAAGCCAACACUCCUCAUGUUGAGAAAUCAAUAGGGAAGAAAUUAAAGGGUAGAUGUUGCUACUUAUGUCGUGAGAAGGGUCACUUCGCUUCUUCUUGCACGAGAGGUAAUUUAUCCAACAUAAUCAUUAUUCAUGAUAUCUAUUCACUUGGGAAGGAUAAGGUUGGCAAUAUGUUUGCCAAGUUUGUUGGUAUUCAAAGUGGUGUCAAGAAAUGUACCAUUUGGGUUGCCAAGCCUAUUGUGACUAACCUCUUAGGACCCAACGUGGUUGGGAACCAACAAGCUCAAACUUGAUCAAUAGGUGUUUGUGGAGGACAUUAGAGACUUGGAUACAUAAUGAAGAAUUAAGGGGUCUUCAUCAUUCAUAUUUUCUCAAGCCAAGUCAUUUGGAUUAUCGAGUUUCUAUCUUAUAUCGAAUGUGCCUCCUUACAGUAACUUGUACUUAAAUUGUUUACAUUGUUAGUUGCUUGCCUCUUUGCAUGUUGUGGUUUUGUACCUUGCAUGUGUUUGUAUAUGUUGUGCUUCCAACUUGCUUAUCUUGAGUAAUCGAGUAUGUGUAUGUUGGUUUGCAUAUCAUGUACAUGUGAGUCUUGUAUUAAGCUUUUUUGCAUCUUGUUUGUAUCUUUGUUGGCUCUUGUGAGAGAUUAAUGGAUUAUCCCAUUGUGGGGGGAGUGAUGUGCUUUGCACACCUCACAAUCCUAUAAAUAUGUAUACAUGGGGAAUACCAUUUAGUAUUGAUAUUUCAAGAUUAUCUAGUUUGUACGUGGUAUGUCUUACUCAUGAGAAAUUCAAAUUCUAUAUGGUCCAUUAAUUAUCUCUUGUUGGUUUUAAUUUGCCACUUGUUUAUAUUGUUGGUUUAUCAUAUUAUGGGGGAGUAAUAUGCUAUGUGCAUAUUACAAACCUAUAAAAUGUGUACAUUUGAGGUGUUGCCACUUAGUGUUGAUAUUGUAAAUUAUCUUGUUCCUAGGUGGCAUGUUAGCUCUACAAGUGUCAUUUGCUUGCGUUUUAUGGGUAAAGAUGAUCUUGGAUAUAUUUGCGAUCUACCAAUGAGUAUCAUUUUCAAAAUACUUCUUGUCCUUGACAAUUGGUAUUCCCAUCAUGUGGUAGGAAUUGCUAAUCAUCUUUACAUUGGAUUUUGUGUUUCGUUUGUCUUCCUUGCCUCUUGUGGAUCUAUUUUAACAUGUCUAGUGUUUUUAUAGAUAUAGAGAAAGUGAUGAUCCCAUCUUGUGCAUUUUGUAUUUAAAUGCAAAUUCUAUAUAAUGCACGUCCCUUGGGGGAGCUAUCAUAUUUUCUUUAGAACACUCUCUUUAUUCAUCCAUCAUAAAAUCUUUUGAUCCCCAUCAAGUGUGUGUCGAUUGGAGGCAAGUCUUGCUCUUUAUGAUGCUUUGUGCCAUCAUGAAAAUUUGUCGAGGGUUUGGUUUGUUGGAACCUAGCACUCUUUUAGAAAUUAGAUACCUUGUGUUUGUUUUCCUUCAAUUGGUAUCUUGUUUCCUUUUAUUUGGCAUGUGUCAAUGGAUAUCUCAUUCCUUGAGGUAUCUUUUAAGUGAUAUCCUUCAAGUGAUAGUUUUUCAUUUGGUAUCUUAUUAUCACUUGAUACCUUGUCUUUUGGUGUAUUAUCAACUUUGUGUUGAGUUGAUUCUUGAAAGCCUUGAGCAUGCAUAUUUACUAUAUAUAGCUUCUUUUGCUUGCUUUCUUUUUUUGACCCAAUAUAUAAGGGAAACUCCACCUUGUCAUAAAUUGGUUAAAGUGUGCAUGAAAUUCAAAUUCAUAUAUAUGUGCACAUAUGUAUGUGGAGUUUGUCCUAUGUAUUGUUGGUUUUCUAAAUCUUUGGUCCCAAUGAGCUUGGGCACCAUUUUGUUUGUUUUGUUGUUGCAGAAACAAUUGGAGAUGCGUUGGAUGCUCGGCUCACCUAUAAGGAAGGUGUUGAGACCAUGUGGUUAUUGGAGUCAAGUUAGGAUGAUCAACGAACAACUAUCUACUACACCAAUCCAAUGUUGUCUCGGUAACAAGUAUCUACUUCAUGCAUUCAUUUCUUACAAAGGCCCAAACCUGUCUUUUCUUUUCGAGGUUGCAUCAUGGCAUGAAUCUCUUGAUUCGUUCUUGUAGUACUUGUUUCCUUUCUCAAAGCAUCCGAACGAUGAUGUCUUAUUGCUAGUUGGGAUGUCUUUGAUGUUUGUAUGUUGGAAGUUCAUAUUGUACAAUAAGAAAAUAUUAGGCCAUGUGAUAUGCUUUCAAGCAAAGAUCUUAUUGAUAUAUUUAUGACUUCCUUUUGGAUAUCUUGUUUGUUCCUUCUUGUAACCAUUUCGUGUGUACAUACUUCUUUGUGGAUAUAUAUCAUCAUGAUUGUCUUCUACUUAGAAUCUUUUACACAUGAGAGAAGUUACAUCUCUAAUUGAUAUCCUCUUUUCUUUUACGUCCACCAUUGCAUUUCCUUUUUCAGUUUUUGGUGGCUUCGUGAAAGGAUUUGUCUUGAGUGCGUAUCUUAUUUUCCUACAUCUUGAUGCACUCUUUGGCCGUGAAGAUUAUUUUUCCUCAUGCUUGUCUUGAUGAGGGUUUUGCCAUUUCGAUUGGUAUCCCUCCUCUUGACAAGGUUCUUAUUUCCUAUCUUCACCAUGGGUUGUCACAAGCGUUGGUUCUUAUUUUGUUUAUUAGUAAGCUUGUGAACCCAUUUUCUCGUAUGUGUGUGUGCGGGAAUGAUAUGUCUUGCACUUUGUGUCUCAUUUCAUCAAGACUAUGUUGAUGAGUAAUGCUCAUCCUUAUCUUAGUCUUCUCAAGUGCUUUGCCAUGAAUCACAUACAUUAUUUUGGUUGAGCCUAUUCUUAAGUUGCUUCUUUUACAUGUUUCUCAACCAUUUGUUUUGUGCAAGUGAUAUUCCUAUUGUCUCAUUUAUCUUCUUGCACUCGUUGUGUGUUUUUAUUAAUUUUUGGGGGAGCAACGAUCCUAUUUUGUGCACUUGUAUCAAAUACAAAAAUCUCUUAUUAGUGCACAAAUCAUGGGGAGCUUCUCUAGUUUUGAUAAAACACUCUAUUGCCUUUAUCAUAAUAUCUUUUAUUCAUGUCGUUCGAAGGACCAUAUGGUUGUUUGUUCCAUCUGGUACCUUUUGAUUGCUUGCCUCUAUUUUUGUAUGUCUUUGUGGCAUACGAUCCUUUUAUUUGCAAUCUUUGGGUCCUCAAUAUAGUUUGUUUUCCUCCAACUACUUAUCAUUGUAUUUGUGUAUUUCUUACUCAUUUGCUGAGAAGUACACACUUUUUGGAGGAUCAGCAAAUAUAUUGGCUUUCUAAACUUUUCGUCCAUUUUGGCAAUCGAUGCCAAUGGGGGAGAAGUUUAGAGAGUUUACUUUGGAUAUGUUUAGAGGGUUUUGCUUUUAUUGCGUAAGUAUUUACAUCUUCCACACAUGCAUUAUUGCUUUCUAUGUGUGCGCUUGGUUAUGCUUAUUUCCUUAUAUAAACUCUCUUGAAGUGGUUGUCAUCAAUUACCAAAAUGGGGAGAUUGUUAGAGCAUAUAUAUCCAUAUGUGGUUUUGGUAAUUGAUGACAAUACUAUAGACUAAUGGUUGCCUUAAGUUAUAUUUAUAGGAUUUGUCCAUAGACACUUCUUGAAGUCCAUGUGUUGGGUUCAAGGAGUUUAUAUGAUGACCAAGGUGGGAUUCAAGAUAUUAUCCAAAGAAUGUUCAUAGAGAGCUUGACUGUAUCGUUCGUUGAGAGCUCAAACCAUUUGCAUCCUUACAUCAUACUUCUUGGUUCUUGUUUGUUGUUUCUCUUUGUGAGUUUUAGAGCUUAUGUUCAUCUUCAUGACAAGCUCGAGUUCAUCGAAAACGGAGUCCAUAUGCAUCUUCUAUGAUAUUUUCGAUGUUGGGAGUUUUUACCGGUCUUAUUCGAAGAAGGGUUCUCACCAUUUUCUUAUGGUAAUUUUCUCACUUGCUUCUUAUUUAUAUUUCUAUCAAGAUUGUGUUAGCCCAUGUCGUUAGCUUUCCAACAAACUUGGUUUCAUGGAAUUCGUAGUCCGUAUGCAAAAGUUACAGCAGUUUCAGUAUCCAGCGGUAGUACCGCUCCUGGUGCGAGCGGUAGUACCGCUCCUAUAGCGGUAGUACCGCCCCCGGAGAGGUAGUACCGCCCCCGGAGCGGUAGUAAUUUUUAUUACCGCUCCCUAGCGGUGGUACCGCUCCAAGAGCGGUAGUACCGCUCCGUCGGACCAUUUUUUACAUACUUUUUGGCCUCAGCAUGAUUGGUGAACCUACCGAGCCGUAGUACCGCUCCAUGAGCCGUAGUACCGCUGUGUGCGGGCUGUGAGGCUUAACGGUUGGAUUUUUUCCCACCUAUAAAAGGGGGUCUUCUUCCCCAUUGAACCUUACCUCUUUAGCUCGUGUUCUUCCCCCAUUGUUGACCUUCUUCGAACUUGCUAACUCUCAAUCCCUCCAAUGAUUCUUGCUAGUUCUUGAGGGAAAAGAGAGAGGAGAUCUAGAUCCACAUUUCCACCAAUCACUUUCUCCUCUAAGUGAGGGGAACCCCUUGGGUCUAGAUUUUGGAGUUCUUCGUGUUCUUCUUUGUUCUUCCUCUCAUUUUCCUCCCUAGCAUUAGUUGCUUUGGUUGGAUUUGGGAGAGAAGGACUUGGGCACUCCAUGUGCCCUUGUCAUUGCAUUAGUUGCAUCGGUUUGAGUUCUCCACGGUGAUACUUGGAAGUGAAGUUUGAGAAGCUUAUUACCUUUGGUACUUAGUAACCUAGAUAUUGUUCUUCGUGGAUGCUUUGGCGUUCUAGAAGCUUGGUGGUGUCUCGGAGCUCAAUCAUUGUGGUGUAAAGCUCCGGACAAGCAUCGGGGUCUCCAAUUAGGUUGUGGAGAUUGCCCCGAGCAAUUUGUACGGGUAUCGGUGACCGCCCCCAAGGUUUGCCAUUUGUACGGGUUCGGUGACCGCCCUCAAGGGUCCCUUAGUGGAAUCACGGCAUCUUGCAUUAUGCGAGAGCGUGAGGAGAUUACGGUGGCCUUAGUGGCAUCUUGGGGUGAACUGUGCCUCCACACCGCUCCAACGGAGAUUAGCAUCCGCAAGGGUGUGAACUUCGGGAUACAUCAUCGUCUCCACGUGCCUCGGUUAUCUCUUACCCGAACCCUUUACUUAUGACCUUUACUUUGUGAUAGCCAUAUUGUUUAUUGUCAUAUAUCUUGCUAUCACUUAGUUGUUUAUCUUGCUUAGCAUAAGUUGUUGGUGCACAUAGGUGAGCCUAGUUGUUGUAGGUUUUGUGCUUGACAAAUUAAACGUUAGUUUUAUUCCGCAUUUGUUCAAGCCUAAACCGUAAUUAUUUUAAAGCGCCUAUUCACCCCCCUCUAGGCGACAUCCACGUCCUUUCAUCUACAUUAGCAUGCAAUGCUAUGAUGGCCUCAUGUAUUAGAAUGAAACAAGACUGGACACAGCAAAAUGCUAUUGUUGGAAUAUAGCAUUAUAAAUAGGACAAAUUUUCCAAGCAAACAACAGUUUUUUCAAGCAAACAACUUCGGAGCGCUAGGUUUCAUUGAUAUAGCAUUGUAGAUUACAUAGUUUGAUGCACAGAAGAAGGAUAGCAUGAUAUUGUGCUACAUUAGACAAGAUAUGCAACACUGAGCUCUUAAAGGAAUAGCAGCUCUAGGAAGAACUGCCUUCGCUAGACUAGCAGAAAUUGCAUUUUUGUCCCUCUAUAGGUAACCAAAGUGAAGAGCAUUUGUAUCUGCUAUUUUCUUCGUUUGUAAUGUCGCUGGUCUGAGCAUCCAUUCCAUGUUUUUGUUGCUUCCCUGUCCGGCAUUCAGGCUGUUGACAGGUUUGAGGUUAUCUGAAAUAAUUGUCUUGUGGUGUACCUGCAAAACAUGAAAAAUUAUAGUCCCUCCGUCCCAAAAUAACUGUUUCAACUUUGUACUAGCUCUAGUAUAAAGUUGUACUAAGCUUGAGACACUUAUUUUGGGACGGAGGGAGUAUGUCCAGACAGCAAAAUCUGCAGAGGCCUCUGCGUUGGAAGGAGAGACAUAAACAGACCCAAAGGCUUGGAUUAAAAUGUUAGCUUGAGUAUUGAGAGUUCUGAUGGAAAUGUGAAGACCUAUCCCUGACUGGCAUUAGGUUGUGAAAGAAGCACCACAACAACAGAAAGUCGAAGGAGCUCGGUGCUGUGAUGAGGUCAUUUUGGUUGAUGGGAGGAUCCUUACUUUGUUAACCUCUGGCCUUGGCAAUGUGAUCAUUGUGGGAUAAAAACUCUGAUUUGACAAGGUAGAUAACCGAGUCUAUAGGUGUUCCUUUACCUUCGAAUGUCUGGUUUUUUCUUAACUUCUAUAUCUACCAAUGUAGGAAUAACACAAAAUUCGUGUCCUGAGAGGAAGUGAGCCUCGCUAAAAUGAGGUGAAGGGUGUGAUCUACAGAAGUGCUGUUGGUGCCAGAGUUCCUCGGUUUUAAGCCCCAAUUGAGAUUUGGUUCGAACCGGAUUGCUUUAGCAUAAAGGUUUGAAUUCUGGGUUGAAUGUAUGUUUGACAUUGUGGCAGUCCAGUUUGUAAACACAACGAGAGGUUUUGGGCAGUCCAGUCCAGUCUAGUUUGUGCGUGGGUGGAAAACAUGGAAUUGGCCGAGAUGUAGGUAGCCGAGAUGUGCCAAGCAAGAAGAUUUUGCUCGCCCCGAGUAGCUUGUUUGAAAAAUGGGGGCUGCAGCUUCUCGUCUUAUUUUUAAUUUCUUGGCCAUACAUCUCGCUCUGUUGGAUGGACAUGAUUGAGGAUUUUUCUUCUUCUUAGUUUAUACUUACUACAUAUUUUUACAAUGCAAAUCCUGU